CACGUAGGGCGCGAGCGUUGUCCGGAAUUAUUGGGCGUAAAGAGCUCGUAGGCGGCCUGUUGCGUCCGCUGUGAAAGCCCGGGGCUUAACCCCGGGUCGGCAGUGGAUACGGGCAGGCUAGAGGUAGGUAGGGGAGAAUGGAAUUCCCGGUGUAGCGGUGAAAUGCGCAGAUAUCGGGAGGAACACCGGUGGCGAAGGCAGCUCGCUGGGACGGUACUGACGCUGAGACGCGAAAGCGUGGGGAGCAAACAGG
rnacentral:rRNA from 1 species